rnacentral:rRNA from 1 species
UGGGGAAUUUUGGACAAUGGGGGCAACCCUGAUCCAGCAAUGCCGCGUGAGUGAAGAAGGCCUUCGGGUUGUAAAGCUCUUCUGCCAGGGAAGAAACGGCUGUGGCUAAUAUCCAUGGCUAAUGACGGUACCUGAAGAAUAAGCACCGGCUAACUACGUGC